rnacentral:rRNA from 1 species
AGCGAACGCUGGCGGCAGGCCUAACACAUGCAAGUCGAACGGACCCUUCGGGGUUAGUGGCGGACGGGUGAGUAACACGUGGGAACGUGCCUUUAGGUUCGGAAUAGCCCCUGGAAACGGGUGGUAAUGCCGAAUGUGCCCUUCGGGGGAAAGAUUUCUCGCCUUUAGAGCGGCCCGCGUCUGAUUAGCUAGUUGGUGGGGUAAUGGCUCACCAAGGCGACGAUCAGUAGCUGGUCUGAGAGGAUGACCAGCCACAUUGGGACUGAGACACGGCCCAAACUCCUACGGGAGGCAGCAGUGGGGAAUCUUGCGCAAUGGGCGAAAGCCUGACGCAGCCAUGCCGCGUGAAUGAUGAAGGUCUUAGGAUUGUAAAAUUCUUUCACCGGGGACGAUAAUGACGGUACCCGGAGAAGAAGCCCCGGCUAACUUCGUGCCAGCCGCCGCGGUAAGAC